GGAGCUCACAGAGCAGGAAGAGCAGGGCACUGAGCACGGGCUGAGGGCACGGGAAGAAGUUUCUUAGAGGAGUCAGCAUCCAGCCAAAGGAACUGUACCAGAUGCUGUCUGUGGGAGAAGUGAAGAAUACUGGCAACGUCCCGAGCAUCAGCCUGGGACACACUGCACGGCGCACGGUCAGGAGUGCACUUCAUAAAAUAAGUCGUAUGAAAAGCAAAGCAGACUUACUUCUGUGGGGCUGAGCGUUGUCCAAGGCUUUGAAGCAGUGUCAGCUGGAUGCAGCAAGUUCCAGGAGAGAGGUGAAAAUGAAUGCCCCUGCAAAUCUUGUGCUACUAAACAGGUACCUCGCAGUUCCUUGUCACUCUCCCACUAAGUCAAUAAAGAUGGAAGAAGUCAGUUAAUCAUUAACAUAUUAUAAAAAUAUGUAAGCUUUACCAUAUGCCAUCAUUUCUAAUUGCUGUGAAACACUACCUAAGUAUAUAAGAAACUCUCAUGUGAAACUCACUUUUCUGUAAGACACUCUUUCAGAAAAACUGCCCUUGUGACCACAUGAUUUUCCAGUCCACCACGGUGCCCCUGGCCUGACAGCCUGAAGGACACGGAAUCUUCGUUUGAAAGGGAAUAAAGUGAUUUCAUAACCCUU